GUUACUUUAGUAUAAGUAGUAUGGCUAUUUUCCACAUAGCUGGUUUAAUGUUGAUUAAAAGUAAUA
rnacentral:tRNA from 1 species